UGCAAGUCGAGCGGCAGCGACAACAUUGAUUCUUCGGAGGAUUUGUUGGGCGGCGAGCGGCGGACGGGUGAGUAAUGGCUGGGAACCUGCCCUGACGUGGGGGAUAACAGUUGGAAACGACUGCUAAUACCGCAUGAUGUCUUCGGACCAAAGAGGAGGACCUUCGGGCUUCUCGCGUCGGGAUGGGCCCAGUUGGGAUUAGCUAGUUGGUGAGGUAAUGGCUCACCAAGGCGACGAUCCCUAGCUGGUUUGAGAGGAUGAUCAGCCACACUGGAACUGAGACACGGUCCAGACUCCUACGGGAGGCAGCAGUGGGGAAUAUUGCACAAUGGGCGCAAGCCUGAUGCAGCCAUGCCGCGUGUGUGAAGAAGGCCUUCGGGUUGUAAAGCACUUUCAGCAGUGAGGAGGGCGUAGUGGUUAAUACCCGCUGCGCUUGACGUUAGCUGCAGAAGAAGCACCGGCUAACUCCGUGCCAGCAGCCGCGGUAAUACGGAGGGUGCGAGCGUUAAUCGGAAUUACUGGGCGUAAAGCGCAUGCAGGCGGUUUGUUAAGCAAGAUGUGAAAGCCCCGGGCUCAACCUGGGAACCGCAUUUUGAACUGGCAGGCUAGAGUCUUGUAGAGGGGGGUAGAAUUUCAGGUGUAGCGGUGAA
rnacentral:rRNA from 1 species